ACCCUUAAUCGUUUAUUUGGAAAUGAACAAAUUAUGGAAAACUCACACAACACGGCCAUGUUAUUACUCAUUUUACAAAAUAUAAAGAGCGAUAUUGUUCGUUUGAUUCAGGGAUUAACUUGUACUUGUAGGGAACGUUUUCUAAAAAAAUAAUUUUCAAGAAUAAAGAUAGUAUUCUUUCUGGUAUUACUUUGCAUUGUCACAAGUUGCCAAUCAUGUUGUAGAAAAGGAAAGAACACCGUUGUACCAUCAAAAACCUUUGUACCAUUCAAAACCGUCGUACUUCCAAAACAAAUUGAUUAUAGACAAAGGUGUAUAUCACAACCAGAUUGUUGCUGGGAUCCAUCGACGAACAGAUGCAUUUGUCCAGAUAGAAGCAGUAGUUACUCGAGAGGAAGAAGAGCGUCAAAAAAUAAGGUUCAACUGUCGAUAUUAAACUGUAACUGUAAAGGAUAUGAAGACGGUACACAUGGGCGUGGUUCCAGACCAUUCCGAAUAGUAUGCAAGAAAGCUUCAAACAAAGGAAAUCGGAAAGGCAAUGGGGAUUAUCCUAAGAAAGACCAAAAUGACUGUACAUAUACAGGAAAUCCACAUCCUUGUAGGGAAUACAACAAAAAACAGGUCAAAUUUUAUCAAGAACUCAUUGCCAGUAUUGCUCCAAACCAAUGUAGUAAUCUGAAUCUGCCGAAUGCGCCUUGUCCAAUAGGUCAAUUUAAAACUAGAAAGACAUGCAGUGAUAUUAUUAAUAUGUAGAAUAGUAAAUUUUAUACAGCACGAUCUUUAUUGUUUUCUGUAGUAUUCGAGAUUCAAUGUACUAAUAAAUAUUUUGAAAUACA